GCUGCUUCGCUGACGAGUGGCGGACGGGUGAGUAAUGUCUGGGAAACUGCCUGAUGGAGGGGGAUAACUACUGGAAACGGUAGCUAAUACCGCAUAACGUCGCAAGACCAAAGAGGGGGACCUUAGGGCCUCUUGCCAUCGGAUGUGCCCAGAUGGGAUUAGCUAGUAGGUGGGGUAACGGCUCACCUAGGCGACGAUCCCUAGCUGGUCUGAGAGGAUGACCAGCCACACUGGAACUGAGACACGGUCCAGACUCCUACGGGAGGCAGCAGUGGGGAAUAUUGCACAAUGGGCGCAAGCCUGAUGCAGCCAUGCCGCGUGUAUGAAGAAGGCCUUCGGGUUGUAAAGUACUUUCAGCGGGGAGGAAGGGAGUAAAGUUAAUACCUUUGCUCAUUGACGUUACCCGCAGAAGAAGCACCGGCUAACUCCGUGCCAGCAGCCGCGGUAAUACGGAGGGUGCAAGCGUUAAUCGGAAUUACUGGGCGUAAAGCGCACGCAGGCGGUUUGUUAAGUCAGAUGUGAAAUCCCCGGGCUCAACCUGGGAACUGCAUCUGAUACUGGCAAGCUUGAGUCUCGUAGAGGGGGGUAGAAUUCCAGGUGUAGCGGUGAAAUGCGUAGAGAUCUGGAGGAAUACCGGUGGCGAAGGCGGCCCCCUGGACGAAGACUGACGCUCAGGUGCGAAAGCGUGGGGAGCAAACAGG
rnacentral:rRNA from 1 species